rnacentral:antisense_RNA from 1 species
AGUACAGAUGAGUUUUCACCAUGUUGGCCAGGCUGGUCUCGAACUCCUGGCCUCAAGUGAUCCACCCGCAUCGGCCUUCCAAAGUCCUGGGAUUACAGGCAUGAGCCACCUCACCCAGCCCUUACUGUAAUUUUUUAAAAAUAAAAAUUCAUCUAUUUCUAACUAUAUAUUCCAUUCCCCAAUAAUCCUAGGUAAGAAUUUAGUGUAUUCAAAACGUGUAGAAAUCUUAACACGGGAGCAGUGUGAAAAGAAUGGCAAGACGGAGACAGGCUGCUUCAAAAGGCCCCAGCAGAGCUGGUGACCUGCAGACAGACAAAGGUGGUGCAGCUGGGAGGCAGACCCCGGGCUCCACCUAGGAUAGAGGAUGUGUGAUGUGGCUCUGUGUGUCUCAUGGGACCACUGUAAAGACAACUGCUUACUGAUGAGACAGCCCAAGGGGCUCUCACAUCCCAACAGGGACCUGGUGCUGGUGGCUGACACAUGCACAUCAUGCCAUGAACAUGAAGUGAAGCCACACGGACAGCAGUUACAGGAGGCCCAGUUUUACCCAGAAAAGGAUUUCUGUGCACAAUGCAGCUGCAUUUUCAGAGGCAAGACCGUGAGAGAGCCAAGUGAGACUCACAGUGACAGCGGCUUCCAGAUCUGCACGUGUCACAUGAAAACGAGGUCACAGAAGUGCCGCUGUCAAGUAGUUUAAUCAUAGUCCCUACCGUGUGUACCUAAAGAAGAGAACUGUCCUUCCCUGGAUAAACCACCCACCAGGUCAAGACUCUGAUCCAGACACUCCCUGCACAUUACCAGCGUCUGUCACCGCCGGCUUUCCUUCUCAGUUCUGUGUGACACCAACACCCAGGGCCCACAGGGGACGAUUAUCAUUAACCAGUUUGUCCUUUCUUUGACCACAUAACUCUUUGUUUUAAAUGUUACUCAUGAAUAUUGAGAAAAACUGAGCCCAAUAUCUGGUGUGCGUGGUUAUUAUAACUUAAUCAAAAGCUGUCACAUUCAUUCCUGGCAGUCACUUCUGCUGAAGCUGUAACUUCCCAACAGGGAGCACAAUGUUUUUCCCUAUGGUAGUAGUUUUCAACCUUUUAAAAAGCAUUAAAAUGCCUUUUAGGCUGAGGCAGAAGAAUCACUGGAACCCAGAAGGCAAAGGUUUCAAGGGAUUCCCCUGCCUUGGCCUCCCAAGUAGCUGGGAUUACAGGCGCCUGCUACCAUGCCCAGCUAAUUUUUGCAUUUUUAGUAGAGACAGAGUUUCCCCAUGUUGGCAAGGCUGGUCUCAAACUACUAACCUCAAAUGAUCCACCCGCCUCGGCCUCCCAAAGUGGUGGGAUUACAGGCAUGAGCUAUAGCACCCGGCCACAGGUAUAGUCUUUUUUUUUCUUUUUUUUUUUUUUUCCGAGACAGA